GGCAGAGACACAGGCAGAGGGAGAAGCAGGCUCCAUGCACCCGGGAGCCCGACGUGGGAUUCGAUCCCGGGUCUCCAGGAUCGCGCCCUGGGCCAAAGGCAGGUGCCAAACCGCUGCGCCACCCAGGGAUCCCCAGUGGUUUUUUUUUAUUUGUGGUUUCCAUUAGGUAUGCUUUGGUCUCCUUGUGAAAUCUGACCUGUCACUACUGCCCCUGGAACCGAGGCCUCACAAAACUGCCAGUCAGGAGACAUGGUGUUGACAGAGGUGCUCUUCAGAUCAAGGCCUCCACGCUGUAUGUUUGGAGUCUCUGCCCUGCAUUUUCUCCAAGAGCAGCUCCAGUGUCCUCCAAGCUCUGCCAGAGUCAAGCACACUGAUCUUUAAAAGCCCUGCUGGUGAUCACGACUUGCUCUAGUAGUCUGCCUUGCAAACUAGCUAUCUCUGCCUCCCUGGACUCUCAUCUUCACCUUGGCAUCACGAGGCUCCCCCCUGCAUUCCUUCUCCCUGUGCUGACAUGUGGAAAUGCCUACUAGGAAGUUCCUUAAAUACUGAAUAUUUUGCAACAAACAUGCAUUAAUUCAUCAUCAAAAAUAUAUAAGAUUUGGUGGCAGCAGUAGAAUUCAAAGAGAACUACUGGCAUUUGGGGAAAAUGAACAAAGUGUGGCAGCCCUUGAACACUUCUAAGUUCACUGUCUUGCCAUUUCCAAGGCCGAUUGGGAUAGCUACUGCCUUCUUGUUUACCUAACUGUGGGACUGGCCUGGCUUUCUACCUACCUGGGAUGCGCAGGUUGUUGGUUCUUAGUACUGGCUAUCUUUGGGAGCAGCCCUGGAUUUUGGGAAGGGAUCCCUGGGUGGCGCAGUGGUUUGGAGCCUGCCUUUGGCCCAGGGCGCAAUCCUGGAGACCCGGGAUCGAAUUCCACGUCGGACUCCCAGUGCAUGGAGCCUGCUUCUCCCUCUGACUGUGUCUCUGCCUCUCUCUCUCUCUCUCUCUC